rnacentral:rRNA from 1 species
GCAAGUCGAGCGGAAACGAUGGGAGCUUGCUCCCAGGCGUCGAGCGGCGGACGGGUGAGUAACGCGUAGGAAUCUACCCAGUAGUGGGGGAUAGCCCGGGGAAACUCGGAUUAAUACCGCAUACGCCCUACGGGGGAAAGGCCGGGAUCUUCGGACCGGUCGCUAUUGGAUGAGCCUGCGUUGGAUUAGCUAGUUGGUGGGGUAAUGGCCUACCAAGACGAUGAUGCAUAGCCGACCUGAGAGGGUGAAC